rnacentral:rRNA from 1 species
GGCGGACGGGUGAGUAAUGCUUGGGAAUAUGCCUUAUGGUGGGGGACAACAGUUGGAAACGACUGCUAAUACCGCAUGAUGUCUACGGACCAAAGUGGGGGACCUUCGGGCCUCACGCCAUAAGAUUAGCCCAAGUGGGAUUAGCUGGUUGGUGAGGUAAUGGCUCACCAAGGCGACGAUCCCUAGCUGGUUUGAGAGGAUGAUCAGCCACACUGGGACUGAGACACGGCCCAGACUCCUACGGGAGGCAGCAGUGGGGAAUAUUGCACAAUGGGCGCAAGCCUGAUGCAGCCAUGCCGCGUGUGUGAAGAAGGCCUUCGGGUUGUAAAGCACUUUCAGUAAGGAGGAAAGGUUAAGUGUUAAUAGCACUUAGCUGUGACGUUACUUACAGAAGAAGCACCGGCUAACUCCGUGCCAGCAGCCGCGGUAAUACGGAGGGUGCGAGCGUUAAUCGGAAUUACUGGGCGUAAAGCGUAC